rnacentral:rRNA from 1 species
UACGUAGGGGGCGAGCGUUGUCCGGAAUCAUUGGGCGUAAAGGGCGCGUAGGCGGCUUUUCAAGUGACGGGUGAAAUCCCUCGGCUUAACCGAGGAACUGCCUGUCAGACUGGAAGGCUUGAGACCGGGAGAGGUGAGUGGAAUUCCCAGUGUAGCGGUGAAAUGCGUAGAUAUUGGGAGGAACACCAGUGGCGAAGGCGGCUCACUGGACCGGAACUGACGCUGAGGCGCGAAAGCGUGGGGAGCAAACAGG